UACGGGGGGGGCAAGCGUUGUUCGGAAUUACUGGGCGUAAAGGGCUCGUAGGCGGCCAACUAAGUCAGACGUGAAAUCCCGAGGCUCAACCUCGGGCCUGCAGUGGGUACGGGCAGACUAGAGUGUGGUAGGGGAGACUGGAAUUCCUGGUGUAGCGGUGGAAUGCGCAGAUAUCAGGAGGAACACCAAUGGCGAAGGCAGGUCUCUGGGCCACAACUGACGCUGAGGAGCGAAAGCCAGGGGAGCAAACGGG
rnacentral:rRNA from 1 species